GAUGAACGCUGGCGGCGUGCCUAAUACAUGCAAGUCGAGCGAACAGAUGAGGAGCUUGCUCCUCUGACGUUAGCGGCGGACGGGUGAGUAACACGUGGAUAACCUACCUAUAAGACUGGGAUAACUUCGGGAAACCGGAGCUAAUACAGGAUAAUAUAUUGAACCGCAUGGUUCAAUAGUGAAAGACGGUUCUGCUGUCACUUAUAGAUGGAUCCUAGCCGCAUUAGCAAGUGGGUAGGGUAACGGCUUACCAAGGCAACGAUGCGUAGCCGACCUGAGAGGGUGAUCGGCCACACUGGAACUGAGACACGGUCCAGACUCCUACGGGAGGCAGCAGUAGGGAAUCUUCCGCAAUGGGCGAAAGCCUGACGGAGCAACGCCGCGUGAGUGAUGAAGGUCUUCGGAUCGUAAAACUCUGUUAUUAGGGAAGAACAAAUGUGUAAGUAACUAUGCACGUCUUGACGGUACCUAAUCAGAAAGCCACGGCUAGCUACGUG
rnacentral:rRNA from 1 species